AAAUGCGGCUCCUCUUGAGUAUUAUUUCUAGGACCCUAUUUCCUAAGACCGGCCGCUUCGACUUUGUAUCCGAGAGGGACCUAGCCCUCAUGUAUUACAUUCUCCAAGACACCCCAAUUAACUUCCCUAAACUGAUCUACAAAUAUCUAUGUGAGCCACUAGACAAACCUAGGCUCACCCUUCCAUAUGGGAUGAUGUAUACCCUGAUUUUUAGGGAGUCCGAGAUCCCUAUUCCUGAGGGGGAACCCUCUCACGCACUGCGAUACACAGAUCGCAUGGGUGAGGGAACCCUUCACAGGAUG
rnacentral:lncRNA from 1 species